rnacentral:lncRNA from 1 species
GUGUAUGUAUUUAGUAUAGAUUCUUUUAAUAAUAUAAUAAUAUUUUAAAUUAAAAAAUAAAGUAAAAAUGGUUAAAAUAUGAACAUUAUUAGCAGCAAAGAACAGUGAAUAUAAGUGUUUUACUGUGACAGUGAAGGUGGAGUUUGGAGUCUAGAGGUUGUUGAGGACGAUGUUGGCGAGAUUCAAACCUUCACAUGUGGUGUCAUCAUCAGAGAUCUUGGAAGAAAAAGACCAAGAGAACCCUGAGGUGGCAGAGAACCCAACGCUCACCCACUCCGGAAGAAGGCUCUCGAGCUCCACUCUCUGAGAGACGAUGUAGUUCGUUGGCUGAGAAGGGUAAACCAGAGAAGCCACCAAGAGCUUCGUGGAGGACUCAUAGGUGAUCUGAACCUCCGCGUUUUCUCCGUUGACCAAUUCCCACGGCGUCGUUUUCAUAGACUCGAUGGAGUUCACGUCGAUGCCAAUAUGACGGCCUUCGGGGUCCCACUCCUGGUUGACGAAGGUGUCGAACUCCACAGCCACAGUAUGGGCUUUGCUGUUGUAUUUGUCGCUGUCGAAAAGACCUAGAAAACCGCCUUGCUUUGUUGGGAACGAGAGCAAAGCCAAGGCCAUCGGCGGCUUUUGCUUUGUUGGGAGCGUGGAUAUUGAAUUUGAAGUUUGUGGUGAAGCUGGCGACUUUUCCGGUGGCGCUGUCUUAGAUUUGGAUGGGGGCGGAGUAGAAGGCGCGGCCCAGAGAGGCCACCGUGGGUUCUCCGUUGCUAUUAACAUUGGUUAGUCGUAACUGGCCGGAGGAUGAGACGGAGGCAUCGCCUUGGAGGAUAAGGUUGGUUUCGUUGAACCUAUCGAAGCUGAAGGAGGUUUCGCUGGCUGAGUUUGCGUGGCUGAGAAGCACAAGGAAGAGGCUAGGUUGAGUAAGUUGGAGGAAGCCAUGUAUGCAUUCAUGCAUUAACCAUCACUCUCUUCUCUAUUUAUACAACAACAAAUGCAAAAUCUUUCCAACUUUUUUAUUUCAUUCUAUUAUUAAAUACGUGUUUUCGAAUGAUUAACUUUUUUCUUUUAUAAUAUUAUUUGAGAGAGAAAUAAGAAUAUUAAAAUAAGAAUUAAGCAACGAUUGAUUUUACAACGAUUCAACGUUUUGCUACGAUUCUUAAUUACAAUGUGUCGAUAACUCUUUUUAAGUAUUUGGGUAUGCUGGUAGGGGGUGUCAUUGGAGAGGUGCUUUUUGAGCGGACAAAAAUUCCAAAAAUCCACCAUUUAUUAUUAAUCUUUUUUAUUAUUUAGGUAUUUUUCAGGUAUUUUAAGGUUUUAGUUCUCACAGUUACCCUAAUUAGAAAAUUCUAAUUUUUUUUUCAUGAUUUUUUAGUUAUAAAUUAGUGAUAUAUCAAAACCCUAUAAAUUAGUGAUAAUUCAUAUUUUUCGUGAAGGGAAUGCGUGUGCUAAUAAGUUGGCUAAUUUAGGAUUUAUUCAUAGAGAAUCAUUUCAUUGGUAUAAUAGACUCCCAGCUAGUCUGUUCUUAGAAUUCUUUAUGAAUAGGUAUAAUCUACCUAUUUAUCGUUUUUGUUAACAUAUGGGUUUUGGUCUAGUCCCGUCAUAUUUUUGUAUUUUCUUUCUUUUUUCUUUUUUUUUAAUAAUAUUUUUUUUAUGUGAUGACAAAUGAUUGUUGUUACUUGAGGUGUCAGCUUAGCUGAGAUGUCAAGUUGCAUAGUGAUGCCUAACACGAAAACUUUAUAUAAAAAAAAACCCUAUGGACAUAUAUAUGUCAGAUUUGUUAGAAUUUGCAUAUGGAGAUCAUUGUAAGAGCAUGACUGGAAGCAAAUAAUAAUAUUUAACUUAUUCUUUAUAAUUUUUUAACACUAAUUAAUGUGAAUCCUUUUUCCCGCCAUAGAAUAUGUGAGAAAUGGGCCACGUAUUUCCUUAAUUUCUAUAACUCUAAGAUAAAUAAUCAAUAAUAUAGGAAUUAGAUAGAUAGAUAGGAAUAUAUAUGUUAUUAGUGUUUGUAAUACAUCUUUAUCAAUGUAUAUAAUUUGAUUAUCUGAAUAUAUGUAUCAGGGCUAACUUAGUUUUAAUUGUACAAGUCAAUUUAGAUAGGAUUAACAUUAAACAGAAUGAACUAAACAAAAAAUUCUCAUUUAAAAUGGCGGCUUUUACCAUAACUGCCAUUUUAUAUCUUUCAAGAAGGUAUAAAUGACGACUUUUUAUCAUAACCGUCAUUUUAUAUCUUUAAGGAGGAUCUAAAACGGUGACUUUUUACCAUAACUGUUGUUUUAUAUCUUUUAAAAAGGUCUAAAACGACGACUUUUACCAUAAUUGCUGUUUUAGACUGAAUAUAACACAACGAUUAUAUAAUCUCUGUCUUUGCUUGAAAAGAAUAGACUAUAUGUUGAAAGACAACGCUACAAGAACCGUUGUUUUAAUACUAAAAUGAUCGUCGUGAUUUAAUUUUUUUCAUCAGUAAUUGUAAAGUUUCUUUUUAGAGUGUUGAUAAACAUAUAUCGAUUUGAAAUGAAUAGAGUUAGAAAGUAAAAAAAAAAUACAAGAAAAAUGUUAAAUAAUGUCAUAGAAAUAGAAAUGGAAGAGAAGUGUAAAGAAAUUUAAAUAAAAAUUAGAUGUGAGAGUAAGUUAGUUUAUAAAUUGAUUUGUUUAAUGAUUUAAUAACUGUAAAAAUCAAAUAAAAGUAAAUUAUAGUAAUAUGUACUAAGAUUUAAUGUAAUUACACCCAUGUUUCCUUUUUUUUUCUCUGUUAUACUUUAACUUAUAAUAAUCCUUUCCAUUAUUAUAAACUUUUUUAAAAUUACAUAUUUUUCAAAUUAUGCACUAAUAAUAUAAUAAUACACAUGCUGAAUAAUACGCAGUGUAAAUAUAUGAGCUCCUAUUUUAUUUAUGCUCCCAUUUGUGACAGAUGAAGAUUAUUAGCAGGAAAGAAGAGUGAGAGUGAGUAUAAGCAGGGUUUUACUGUCACAGUGAAGGUGGUUUUUGGAAUCUAGAGGAUCUUGUUGAGGAGGAUGUUGGCGAGAUUCGAAUCUUCAGAUGUGGUGUGACAGGAGAACUUGGAAGAAAAAGACCAAGAGAGCAGGUCGUGCGUUUCACUGGACACGUUAGAUGACCCUGAGGUGGAAGAGAACCCAACGCUCACAUUUAAUAAUAAUAUUAUGUGAUACCUCACAAUUAUUUAUCUUAUUAAUUGAUCAAUUACCAUAAUUAUCCUAUUAUAUUAUUGGUAAUUACUAUUAUCAUAAAUAAUUAGGGUUUCUUCUUGGGUGUAUUAUAAAUAGAGAUUACCAGACAACUAAAGAGACACUCUUAUAUUCUAACAUCACACGGUCGAAACUCAUUCCCUAAAGGGAUUUUCGAGCCUCUCAUCUCUUUGUCUCUCUGCUCACAUAAUUCCAUUUUAAGCGAUACACUCUAAAGGGAAACCCGAUCAAGAUCAUGUCUUCGUCCCUCAGCCAUGCGAUCACGGGUUUACCAAGUAUUAUCUAAUCAUUAUUCUCGUUUCAUUAUAUGAUUGAGGAAUCCUAAUCCAACAUGUGGUAUCAGAGUCAGGUUUAUGUUGUUUAAUCGAUUCUUCUUUUGUUUUCCCUAAAUUUGGAAGAAACGAGGAUUUUGAUUCAACCUAUUGAUUUUCGAUGUUUUUAUUUUGGUAUAUUAUUGAACCACUUAUUUUCGAAAAUCCACCUUGAUAUCAUAAAAUAAAUUUUAAUUUUUUCGAGAUCCAUAAUUAUUUUAAGAUUUUGAAAAUUAAAAUUUAAUAUUAAUGUUAUGUGUUCUUCAUAAUUUUCGUGAGUAUUCCCUUAUUUGGAAUGGAAUUAAUUUUGAUUAUAUGUUCAUCAUCAUUAUUUGUUGUUCGUAUGAAUUUUUGAAAAUUAUGAAUAAAGAAUUUUCAAAAAUUAAUUAUUCCCUUAAUUAGGAAAUUUUGAAAAUAAUAUUUUUCCUUAAUUCAAAUUUUCGAAAUACAAUUGAUUCCCUUAAUUAGGAAUGGAUUUGAUUUGAUUUGAUUGUGUUUUUCUAAAAAAAUAAAUAAAAAUUGAUAUCUUAGUCUCCACGUUUUUCCUUAUUUAGGAUAGUAUAUUCUUGCCUUAUUAAUUUUCGGGUAUUAUUAUUAUUAUUACUAUUUUCGAAAAUAGCAGUCGUGUCAAACUUGGAAACAUAUCAAUCUAAUUAAAAUUUUGAAGACCAAAUCUAAAAUCAAAUCCUUAAUAUUCCGCUACUCACUUAUCGAGUUUACGAGUAACAUAUUUACGCGUUUCCUUUUAUUUAUCGAAUUAAAUAUGGUAAAUCUCAUGAUACCGUAAUUAUGUUUUAAAAAAAAUACUUAUUUUGUUAAACUCUUAAAACAAAAAUAUUAAGUUUGACAAAAUUAAAAUUAAAUUUUUUGCUUAAACUUAAUAACAGGAGUCUCCCUUCUGUCCAACGAUGAUGGGUUAUGUCUUGUUAUUUUAGUCUAAUUAAGCACCUUCACUUACUUGUGAGUACACUUAAUUAUUAAAUAUUCGCAUGACAUUUGCCUAAAAACACAAUUAUUUCUUAUUUCUAUUCUGUCCAACGAUGUUUGAUGCACUUGUGUUUUGCAAACUUAAUAUGUGCAUAAGCUUAAAUGUUCAAUUCUGUCCAAAGAUGAUGUGUCACAUUCUUAUUGCACAUACCUUACUUAUAAUUGUUCAUUAUUCUUAAAUAAUUGGUAAUUAACCAAAGUGAAAGCUGAUUGUUUAAGUAGAACCUAAUCUAGUCUAUUAUUUUGAUGUUAUAAUAGAUUUUAUCACAGCUUCAUUAUCAUAAUGGUUCUUACUUAUGCCUGCUUUAGAUCUAAGUUUCCAAAUGUCACUCUAACUUUUUCCUUAGCCUAAGUAUCUUAAUUCGUCGUCUAACCAGCCCCUAAUAUGGAAAUUGAGACCUUGACUGGUGAAAAUCAUUCUUCUUGGAAAGAUUCCUUGAUGCUNNNNNNNNNNNNNNNNNNNNNNNNNNNNNNNNNNNNNNNNNNNNNNNNNNNNNNNNNNNNNNNNNNNNNNNNNNNNNNNNNNNNNNNNNNNNNNNNNNNNNNNNNNNNNNNNNNNNNNNNNNNNNNNNNNNNNNNNNNNNNNNNNNNNNNNNCAAUCAUUAGAGGAGGCAUUCCUGAUUCACCUAACGCUAAGGCUUAUCUAGCUUCUGUGGAGGAACAAUUUCAAGGAACCUCUAAGGCUCAUGCUAGUACUCUUAUCUUGAAGUUGGUGACUACAAAAUAUGACGGGCGCACCGGCAUUCGUGAACACAUCCUGAUGAUGAGCGACAUGGCCCGUAAACUUAAGGGAUUAGCCAUGGAGAUCAGUGAAGGUUUCCUAGUCCACUUCAUUAUGACUUCUCUUCCUUCUGCGUUUGAAGCCUUCAAAGUCAACUAUAAUACUCAGAAGGACAAAUGGUCCAUGAGUGAGUUGAUUGCUAUGACUGUUCAAGAAGAAGAGCGCCUGAAGUUGGAGAAACCAGAUGUUGCUUACCUCGUGGCUGCUGAGUCGAAGAAGCGGAAGGGCAAAUUCCAUAAAAAGGAAUCUAAUAAGGUCCCUAAAACUGAUGCAAGUGCACCCUCCAGCUCUAACAAAUUCACUAGCAAGUUCUACUGCAAGUUCUGCCGCAAGGUAGGACAUAAGCAGUCUGAGUGCUCAAGCUUUAAGGAGUGGUUGGCUAAGAAAGGUAAUCAUCUAAAUAUGAUAAUUGAGUCCUUUAAUUUAAAUGUUCCAACUAAUACUUGGUGGUUUGACUCUGGUUCUAUGGUUCAUGUGACCAAUUCAAUCCAGGGAUUCCUUACAAUCCAGAAGCUGGAAAGAAACCAAAGAACACUUAAGAUGGGGAAUGGACAAGAACUAUUUGUCGAAGCUGUCGGAAUCUUAGAAUUACUUAUGAAAACUGGAAAAUGUAUUAAACUUUAUGAUACCUUAUAUAUUCCCGAAAUUACUCAGAAUCUUGUAUUAGGACCAAAGUUAGACAUUGAUGGUUUUUAUGUUUCCCAUGGUCAUGGCAAACUUACUAUUUCUUUAAAUUCUCAAUUGUUUGGUACUGGUUUUCUGGAUAACGGUCUCUAUAAGUUAGAACUAGAUGAUAACUUCUCCAAAUCUUUGUUAUCAUAUAAUAUUAAUGAGAACUUAACAAAGACCAAGAGAAAACGAGACUUAGAAACUUCAUCCAUGUUGUGGCAUCAACGUUUAGGCCACAUUUCACGAGAUCGCUUAUCUCGACUUGUGAAGGAUGAAGUCUUACCAUCUCUCAAUUUCACUGAUUUUGGAACAUGUGUCAAAUGCCUCAAAGGCAAAAUGACAUCCACGACUAAGAAAGGCAAAAUGACAUCCACGACUAAGAAAAAAAAAUACAAGAAAAAUAUUAAAUAAUGUCAUAGAAAUAGAAAUGGAAGAGAAGUGUAAAGAAAUUUAAAUAAAAAUUAGAUGAGAGAGUAAGUUAGUUUAUAUUGAUUUCUUUAGUGAUUUAAUAACUGUAAAUAAGAAAGAGUAAAUUAUAGUAAUAUUUACUAAGAUUCAAUGAAGUUACACCAAUGUUUCCUUUUUUUAAUAUGUUAUACUUUAAUUUAUAAUAAUCCUGUCCAUUACUAUAAAAAUUUUAAAAAUUACAUAUUUUUCAAAUUAUGCACUAAUAACACGCAUAUAUGGUCAAACAGAAUAAACUAAAGCAAAAAAUUCUCAUUUAAAAUAGCGGCUUUUAUCAUAACGGUCGUUCUAUAUCUUUGAAGAUGGUAUAAAAUGAUGAGUUUUUAGCAUAACUGCCAUUUUAUAUCUUUCAGGAGGAUUUAAAACAACGAUUUUUUAGCAUAAUUGUCGUUUUAUAUCUUUAAAAAAUGCCUAAAAUGAAGACUUUUACCAUAAUCGUUAUUUUAGACUGAAUAUAACACGACGAUUAUAUAACCGUUGUCUUUACUUAAAGAGAAUGGACUUCAUGCUGAAAGACAGCGGUAUAAGAAUCGCUCAUUCAUGCUGAAAGACAGCGGUAUAAGAAUUGCUCAUUUAGUGCUGAAAUGACCGUUGUCAUUUAGCUUUUUUGCACCAAUAAUUAUAAAGUUUAUUUUUAGAGUGGUGGUGAUAAACAUAUAUCGAUGUGAGAAUAAGUUAGUUUAUAUUGAUUUGUAUAGUGAUUUAAUAACUGUAAAAGUCGAAUAAGAAAGAGUAAAUUAAAGUAAUAUUUUCUUAUGUUUAAUGUAAUUUAAACCAAUGUUUUUUUUUUCUAUGUUAUACUUUAACUUAUACUAAUCCUUUCCAUUAUUAUAAACUUUUUAAAAAUUACAUAUUUUUUAUUUUUCAAAUUAUGCACUAACAAUACGAAUAUGCAUGGUCAAUAAUACGCAGUGUAAAUUGUGUAAAUAUAUGAGCUCCCAUUUUAUUUAUUUAUUUUAGUUUGUGUGACAAAUGAACAUUAUUAGUAGCAAAGAAGAGUGAAGAGUGACUAUAAGUAGCGUUACCAUGAGACUAUGUUACUAUAUGAGACUAUGAGGUAAUAUGGCCUGAAAAAUGUUGAAGGAACUUGUCAAAGACUCAUAGACAAAGUCUUCAAGGGGAUUGGCCGGAACAUAAGGGAAAUGGUCGGAACGAUUUACGUGGACGACAAACUCAUGUGCCCAACACAUAAAGAUUUGAAAGAACUCUUUGAAGCUAUUAGGCUAUGAUGUUCAGACACUUCUCUUAAAUGAUGUGUCGGUGGUAGAUACUCAUAUCGGACACCGACAUUCGUAUGACACUUGUAGGACACGUAUUCGUGAAAUGUCCAAUUCAAAAAGUAUUUGUUGGAUUUUUGACAAUUUUAAUACAAUUCUAACAGAAUUUUAAAAAGGAAAAAUACAUUAAUUUUCUAAAAACUCAAACUUAUUGUAUAAAUUUUUAUUAUGAUUAUAAAAAUAAGAAACAAAUCAUUUUGAAGUAGUCAUGAAAAACAUUUUUUUCUCUUUUCUCCAAAAAACAAUCUGUAACAUACUUGUGUACAUAAAUCUUUAUUAUCAAUUUAUAUAAUUUAUAAUUAUAUAAUAUAUAGAUUCGUGUUUUCAUAUCCUACAUUUUAAAUAUUUAUUUUAAAUAUUUUCCGUAUCUUUACGUUUGUGUCCUUGUUUUAUCGGUGUCCGUGUUAUACAGCUCUUAAGUGAAUGAACAUGCGGCUAAAUCCUGAAAAGUUUGCGUUCAGGAAUAUAAGUUAUUGGGUUUAGGGUUUAAUCUCGAGAAAUGUAGGGCGAUAGAGAUAACAAGAUGAUCAAAAAUACAAAAAAAAGAAGAAGAGUAAAAUAGAGUAAACUCCAUUAUGUUAUUAUUUUGGAAAACUUUUCUUCAACAGUCCAAAGUUUGGAGUAAAAAACAAGCAUUUGACAGCUCCUUUUAAUAAUAUAAUAAUAUAUGAGCUCCCAUUUUAUUUUCUGUGACAGAGAAACAUUAUUAGCAGGAAAGAACACUGAGUGAAAGCAGUGUUUUAGUGUCACAGGGAAGGUGGAGUUUGGAGUCUAGAGGAUUUGGUUGAGGACCAAGUUGGCGAGAUUCAAAGCUUCAGAUGUGGUGCCAUCGGAGAGCUUGGAAGCAAAAGACCAAGAGAGGACGUCGUUCGUUUCAACGUUCCCUUUAGUAAUCCCAGUGGUGGCAGAGAACCCAACGCUCACCCACUCGGGAAGAACGCUCUUCAGGUCCACUGUGUCAGAGACGGUGAAGCUUGUUUUCAGAGAAGGGUAAACCAGAGAAGCCACCAAGAGCUUCGUGGAGGACUCAUAGGUGAUAUGAACCUCGGCGUUUUCUCCGUUGACAAAAUCCCACCGCGUCGUUUUGAUAGACUUGAUGGAGUUCACGUCGAUGCCAAUAUGACGCUCUCUGGGGUCCCAGUCCUUGUUGUAGAGGGUGUCGAACUCCACAGCCACAGUAUGGAAAUUGCUGUUGCUGCCGUCGAAAAGACCUAGAAAACCGCCUUUGUCUUUGGGCUGAGAGCCCACGGGGACGAGAGCAAAGGCAAGGCCAUCGGCGGGUCCUGCAUUGUUGGGAACCUGUAUAUUGAAUGUGAAGUUGGUGUCGAAGCUGGCGACGUUGCCGGUGGUGUAGUCCCAGAUUUGGAUGGGGGCGGAGUAGAAGGCGCGGCCCAGAGAGCCCACCGUGGGUUCUCCGUUGCUGUUAACAUUGGUUAGUCGUAACUGGCCGGAGGAUGAGACGGAGGCAUCGCCUUGAAGGAUAAGGUUGGUUUCGUUGAACCUAUCGAAGCUGAAGAAGGUUUGGCUGGCUGAGUUUGCGUGGGUGAGAAGCACAAGGAAGAGGGCUAGGGAGAGUAAGUUGGAGGAAGCCAUGUAUGCAUUCAUGCAUUAACCAUCACUCUCUUCUCUAUUUAUACAACAACAACUGCACUCUCUCUCUCUACUUU